UUAUCUUUGAUGACUGAAUAUCUGAAUAGUGAAUGCAAAUGAAGCUGUCAGUGGUGUCCGAGAAAUGAGGGCUCCUAAACACUUUCUUCCUGAGAUGUUAAGCAAAGUAAUUAUCCUGUCACUAGAUAGAAGUGAUGAAGAUAAAGAAAAAGCAAGUUCUUUGAUCAGUUUGCUCAGACAGGAGGGGAUAGCCACGAGUGACAACUUUAUGCAGGCUUUCCUGAAUGUAUUGGACCAGUGCCCCAAACUGGAGGUUGACAUCCCCUUGGUGAAAUCCUAUUUAGCACAGUUUGCAGCUCGUGCCAUCAUUUCAGAGCUGGUGAGCAUUUCAGAACUAGCUCAACCACUGGAAAGUGGCACCCAUUUUCCUCUCUUCUUACUUUGUCUUCAGCAAUUAGCUAAAUUACAAGAUCGAGAAUGGUUAACAGAACUUUUUCAACAAAGCAAGGUCAAUAUGCAGAAAAUGCUCCCAGAAAUUGAUCAGAAUAAGAACCGCAUGUUGGAGAUAUUGGAAGGAAAGGGACUGAGCUUCUUAUUCCCACUUCUCAAAUUGGAGAAGGAACUGUUGAAGCAAAUAAAGUUGGAUCCAUCCCCUCAAACCAUAUAUAAAUGGAUUAAAGAUAACAUCUCCCCCAAAUUUCAUGUAGAUAAAGGAUUUGUGAACAUCUUAAUGACUAGUUUCUUACAGUAUAUUUCUAGUGAAGUAAACCCACCCAGUGAUGAGACAGAUUCUUCCUCUGCUCCUUCCAAAGAACAGUUAGAGCAGGAAAAACAACUGCUGCUUUCUUUCAAGCCAGUAAUGCAGAAAUUCCUUCAUGAUCAUGUUGAUCUGCAAGUCAGUGCCCUGUAUGCUCUGCAGGUGCACUGCUACCACAGCAACUUCCCCAAAGGCAUGUUACUCCGCUUUUUUGUUCACUUUUAUGACAUGGAAAUUAUUGAAGAAGAAGCUUUCUUGGCUUGGAAAGAAGAUAUAACCCAAGAGUUUCCUGGGAAAGUCAAGGCUUUGUUCCAGGUGAAUCAGUGGCUAACCUGGCUAGAAACUGCUGAAGAGGAGGAGUCCGAGGAAGAAGCUGACUAAAGAACCAGCCAAAGCCUUAAAUUGUGCAAAACAUACUGUUGCUAUGACAUAACUGCAUCUGACCUAACCACUGCGAAAAUUCAUUCCGCUGUAAUGUUUUCACAAUAUUUAAAGCAGAAGCACGUCAAUUAGGAUUUCCUUCUGCAUAAGGUUUUUUUGUAGUGUAAUGUCUUAAUCAUAGUCUACCAUCAAAUAUUUUAGGAGUAUCUUUAAUGUUUAGAUAGUAUAUUAGCAGCAUGCAAUAAUUACAUCCUAAGUUCUCAAGCAGAGGCAGUCUAUUGCAAGGACCUUCUUUGCUGCCAGUUAUCAUAGGCUGUUUUAAGUUAGAA